UCCAAUGAUGACCAUGAGAAAGAAAGUCUGAAUGCAAGUUUUUAUGUGCUUGUACGCAAUGUUGAAUAUUCAUGAACUAGGACGGUCUGAGGU
rnacentral:snoRNA from 1 species